CCUACGUGUGGCAGCAGUGGGGAAUAUUGGACAAUGGGGGAAACCCUGAUCCAGCGACGCCGCGUGAGUGCAGAAGUAUUUCGGUACGUACAGCUCUAUCAGCAGGAAAGAAAAUGACGGUACCUGACUAAGCAGCCCCGGCUAACUACGUGCCAGCAGCCGCGGUAAUACGUAGGGGGCACGCGUUAUCCGGAUUUAUUGGGUGUAACGGGUGCGCAGGCGGAAGAUCAAGUCAGCGGUAAAAUUGAGAGGCUCAAACUCUUCGAGCCGUUGAAACUGGUUUUCUUGAGGGAGUGAGAAGUAUGCGGAAUGCGUGGUGUAGCGGUGAAAUGCAUAGAUAUCACGCAGAACUCCGAUGGCGAAGGCAGCAUACCGGCGCUCAACUGACGCUCAUGCACGAAAGUGUGGGUAUCGAACAGGAUUAGAUACCCCUGUAGUC
rnacentral:rRNA from 1 species